AGAGCUUCAGCUGCAGCAAGAAAGAUUUCCUUCAGAAACUGGCAUAUUUGAAUCAUUAGGAGUUCAAUUUUCAAUUUUUUUUUUUUUUAUUUUUUUGAGACAGAAUCUUGCUCUGUUGCCCAGGCAGGAAUGCAGUGGCGCAAUCUCAGCUCACUGCAACCUCUGCCACGCAGGUUCAGGCACCUGCCUCAGCCUCCUGGGUAGCUGAAAUUACAGCUGCACACCACCACACCCAGCUAGUUUUUAUAUUUUUAGUAGAGACAGGGUUUCACCAUGUUGGCCAGGCUGGUCUCAAACUCCUGACCUCAACUGAUCCACUCAACUCAACCUCCCAAAGUGCUGGGAUUACAGGCAUGAGCCACCAGGCCUGGCCUGAUUUUUUUUUUAAUUUUGUUAUUCUCGAGUUUUUAAAUUUUAAAUUUGUGUCAGUGCCCAUUAGUCUCUAUAAACCUAUCAGUGCAGGAGCACCUUAGAUUUAAAAUACUUUAUAAAUAAAUUCAUUAACCUGGUAAUAUUUUGUGUUAAAAUUUCUUUUCAGACUAAAUAUUCCUAGUGUAUACACAGAAAGCCAGAUUUGGUGGCCAACUGAAAAAAUUGACUAAUGGAGAAUUAAAGUUUUGUUUUUCUUCUGUCACUCCAUAUAAAUGUUAAAACCAUGUUGAAUUAAGAUUUCUCUGAAGGCGCUUCUAUAAUUCUGAAAUACAUUUAGUGUAAAUAAAAGCCUGCCACUUUACAUAUAGGCAGAGCAGCUAGGGCUGUAAUAUGCCUACAUAUCAGAAGCCUUGGUUCUUAUAAGGGUGGAUGGGAGGUAUUACCUGUGUCAAAAUCAUAGUCACUGUACUUAACUCAGGACAGACACAGGAGUUCCUUUUACUGCUGAAAGACCUACUUACUGCUGAAAGACCUACUUACAUGACUAUGCCGUAAUAUGUAUGAAGGUAAGCCAAGGAGAUAUGAGCAGUUGCUUCCCUUCUCCUGUCAUAUUCAAGAGAAACAAAAUAGCCAAUAAAUCAAAUCUGACAACUCCACCCAACUCAAGUUUCCAUAAUCUCAAGGAAGUUGCUGGCCAGAAAUAGAACACAAAAUCAGUUAUGAGUUGUGGAACCUCAGACAACCUAGAUUAAACCAAAUAAACUUAGUGAGAACUCAGUGAAAGCAGCUAGGAUUUACUGCUGAGAAAGGGUCUUGAGGGACCACCGGGCACCUGUCCUGAGUACAAGGGCUGGAAGAGCAGGCUUUCUCUGCAGGAGCUCCUCAGCACUGGCGUGGGGAGAGGCAGGCAUCAGGUUAGAUUGUUGGUUCCUCCGUCUGUCAUCAAAGCCUGAGGUAAAGGCCACCAGAGCUACUGAAAGGAGAAAAGUUGAGCUUAUUUACUGGCCAGGCAAUGAAACACAGAAGGGAAGACAUUCACUUAGGCAGUUUGCUGAGUAGGAAGAGUCAGGAAUUUUUAAGUGUUAGGAAAAGUGGUUCUGCUCAUUGUAAUUAGGAUUAAAAAGUAGCAUUUCAUGUAGCAUGGAAUAAUUCUGGAAUGUGGAUGUGUACACUUUUAAUAAGCUUGAUUGUUCAUUGGUCAAGAAAAGAGCAUUCAGGUAGAUCCAUCAAGAUCUCUACCUGGUUACUCAUAUUGCCUGGUCAUUGAUUGCCUUCAGCUGACUAGACCCAGUUGUGAUAAAACAAUAUACUCAAUGUUGACAUCUCCUACACAAGAGGCACUAUAAGUAGAAAUUUCUUCUUUUACACUGAUUUUUGGGGAAAAUUUUAUUUACACUAAUUAUGGAAAUAGGUUGGGAGUACCAGGAGGGAGCAUCCUUUAAAGUCAUUGGGGACCUGGGCUCUAUGUUGUCCAUUGCUGAAAGCCUACUGCCUCCUAGAAAUUCUGUCAUAGAGUAAUCUAACAAUCUUUGUUGAGUGGGGAGACAGCAGUUCAGGUGUGUCACAUACUGUUUCACUACCCUCUCAUGCUCCUCCCUACACCAGGGCUUCUCUGUUCACUCCAAAUAACUGCUUUCUCAAUCCAUCCCCUUGUCCUCAUAGGGAAAUAAGGAAGGACAUUUCCACAUGAGUCCUAGGGUUAGACAUCUUUCCAUCAAAGAAGAAAGUACUUGUGGACAUGAUUUAUCUCAGUGUGCAUGGUUGUGAGUUAGAAGCAGAUCCAGAGCCAGAGCUCUACCUCGAUCCUUUCUGCCCUCCGGGUUUCUCCAGUCAGAAAUUCCCCAUGCAGCAUGUGCUGUGUAAUCAUCCCCCCUGGAUCUUCACAUGCUUGUGUGCAGAAGGUAACAUCCAGCCUGGGGAUCCGGGCCCAGGGGACCAGGAGAAGCAGCCACAAGCCUCUGAGGGGAGACCCUGGAGUGAUCAAGCAGAAGGUCCCGAGGGAGAAGGUGCCAUACCUUUGUUUGGAAGAACAAAGAAAAGGACUCUGGGAGCGUUCUCCAGGCCACCCCAGAGGCAGCCAGUCAGCUCUCGGAAUGGCCUCAGAGGGGUGGAGUUAGAAGCCAGCCCAGCUCAGACAGGGAACCCUGAGGAAACGGACAAAUUGUUGAAGAGGAUAGAAGUCUUAGGAUUUGGAACAGUCAACUGUGGAGAGUGUGGACUGAGCUUUAGCAAGAUGACAAACCUGCUCAGUCACCAGCGGAUACACUCAGGGGAGAAGCCCUACGUGUGCGGAGUAUGUGAGAAGGGCUUCAGCCUAAAGAAGAGCCUCGCCAGACACCAGAAGGCACACUCGGGGGAGAAGCCGAUUGUGUGCAGGGAGUGUGGACGAGGCUUUAACCGGAAGUCAACGCUAAUCAUACACGAGCGGACACACUCUGGUGAGAAACCUUACAUGUGCAGUGAGUGUGGGCGAGGCUUCAGCCAGAAGUCAAACCUCAUCAUACACCAGAGGACACACUCGGGGGAAAAGCCUUAUGUGUGCCGGGAAUGCGGCAAAGGCUUCAGCCAGAAGUCAGCUGUCGUGAGACACCAGAGGACACACUUGGAGGAAAAGACCAUCGUGUGCAGUGACUGUGGCCUGGGCUUCAGCGACAGGUCAAACCUCAUCUCCCACCAGAGGACACACUCUGGGGAGAAGCCCUACGCCUGCAAGGAGUGUGGGCGAUGCUUCAGGCAGAGGACCACCCUUGUCAACCACCAGAGGACACACUCAAAGGAGAAGCCCUAUGUGUGCGGGGUGUGUGGGCACAGCUUCAGCCAGAAUUCAACCCUCAUCUCUCACAGGCGGACGCACACUGGGGAGAAGCCGUAUGUGUGUGGCGUGUGUGGGCGAGGCUUUAGUCUCAAGUCACACCUCAACAGACACCAGAACAUACACUCAGGGGAGAAGCCCAUUGUGUGCAAGGACUGUGGCCGGGGCUUCAGCCAGCAAUCCAACCUCAUCAGACACCAGAGGACGCACUCAGGGGAGAAGCCCAUGGUGUGUGGGGAGUGCGGGCGAGGCUUCAGCCAGAAGUCAAACCUUGUUGCACACCAGAGGACGCACUCAGGGGAGAGGCCGUAUGUGUGCCGGGAGUGUGGGCGAGGCUUUAGCCACCAGGCCGGUCUCAUCAGGCACAAGCGCAAGCACUCGAGGGAGAAGCCCUACAUGUGCAGGCAGUGUGGACUGGGCUUUGGCAAUAAGUCAGCUCUAAUCACACACAAGCGGGCUCACCCGGAAGAGAAGCCUUGUGUGUGCAGAGAGUGUGGCCAAGGCUUUCUCCAAAAGUCACACCUCACCUUACAUCAAAUGACACAUAAGGGGGAGAAGCCGUAUGUGUGCAAGACGUGUGGGCAGGGCUUCAGCCUCAAGUCUCACCUCAGCAGACACAGGAAGACCAAGUCUGUCCACCACAGACUGCCACUGCAGCCCGACCCUGAGCCGUGUGCGGGGCACCCUUCCAAUUCCUUAUACUGUCUCUGAAGGCAAAGAUAGGGACAAGGACUAAGAGUCAGAAUGUUGACACUUUGAUGAAAUGGGGUAGAGAAAUGCAUUCUGUAAGUGGUCAAAGGACAUUUGACUGUUUACUUUCUCCACACUAAGUCUUCUCCAUGUUUUGUGGCCUUCGGUUGUAAUAAACUUGGCUUCUUUAUACAUCUGUAA
rnacentral:sRNA from 1 species